GAUGAAGAACGUAGCGAAAUGCGAUAAGUAAUGUGAAUUGCAGAAUUCAGUGAAUCAUCGAAUCUUUGAACGCACCUUGCGCCCUUUGGCUAUUCCGAAGGGCAUGCCUGUUUGAGUAUCAUGAACCCCUCAACUCUUCACGGCUUGCCGUGAUGAGUUUGGACUUUGGGGGUCUUGCUGGCCUACGAGCCAGCUCCUCUCAAAUGUAUUAGCUUGCCGGUGUUUGGUGGCAUCACAGGUGUGAUAACUAUCUACGCUUGUGGUUUUCCACUAGGUAACCUUCAGCAAUGGAGGUUCACCGGAGCUCACAAAUGUCUCUCCUUGCCAAGGACAGAUUUUGACCAUUUGAUCUCAAAUCAGGUAGGACUACCCGCUGAACUUAAGCAUAUCAAUAAGCGGAGGA
rnacentral:misc_RNA from 1 species